rnacentral:misc_RNA from 1 species
CAGCCGCGUAAUUCCAGCUCCAAUAGCGUAUAUUAAAGUUGUUGCAGUUAAAAAGCUCGUAGUUGAAUUUCGGGAUUGACACAUCGGUCGUGCCUUAAGGGGUAUGAACUGGUGUAGUCAAUUUCUCACCUUCUGGAGAACCGCGAUGCCCUUAAUUGGGUGUCGCGGGGAACCAGGACCUUUACUUUGAAAAAAUUAGAGUGUUUAAAGCAGGCAUUUUGCUUGAAUACAUUAGCAUGGAAUAAUAAAAUAGGACGGCAUGAUUCUAUUUUGUUGGUUUCUAGGAUCACCGUAAUGAUUAAUAGGGAUAGUUGGGGGCAUUAGUAUUCAAUUGUCAGAGGUGAAAUUCUUGGAUUUAUUGAAGACUAACUACUGCGAAAGCAUUUGCCAAGGAUGUUUUCAUUAAUCAAGAACGAAAGUUAGGGGAUCGAAGACGAUCAGAUACCGUCGUAGUCUUAACCAUAAACUAUGCCGACUAGGAAUCAGACGAUGUUAAUUUUUUAAUGACUCGUUUGGCACCUUACG